GAUGAAGAACGUAGCGAAAUGCGAUAAGUAAUGUGAAUUGCAGAAUUCAGUGAAUCAUCGAAUCUUUGAACGCACCUUGCGCUCGUUGGUAUUCCGACGAGCAUGCCUGUUUGAGUGUCAUUAAAUUCUCAACCUCAUCGCUUUUGUGAUGAUGGCUUGGAUGUGGAGGUUUUCUGCAGGCCGAAAGGUCUGCUCCUCUCAAAUGAAUUAGUGGGUGCCCCGCGCAAACCUAUCUAUUGGUGUGAUAAUUAUCUACGCCGUGGAUUUUAGGAUUGCUGUAAAAAGGUGUUUGCCCUGCUUCUAACCGUCUUCGGACAACUUGAACCAUUUGACCUCAAAUCAGGUAGGACUACCCGCUGAACUUAAGCAUAUCAAUAAGCGGAGGA
rnacentral:misc_RNA from 1 species